ACGGGAGGCAGCAGUGGGGGAUAUUGCACGAUGGGGGAAACCCUGAUGCAGCGACGCCGCGUGAGUGAAGAAGUAUUUCGGUAUGUAAAGCUCUAUCAGCAGGGAAGAAAAUGACGGUACCUGACUAAGAAGCUCCGGCUAAAUACGUGCCAGCAGCCGCGGUAAUACGUAUGGAGCAAGCGUUAUCCGGAUUUACUGGGUGUAAAGGGAGCGCAGACGGUUUGCCAAGUCUGAUGUGAAAGCUAGGGGCUUAACCCCUAAACUGCAUUGGAAACUGGUAGACUAGAGUGUCGGAGAGGUAAGUGGAAUUCCUAGUGUAGCGGUGAAAUGCGUAGAUAUUAGGAGGAACACCAGUGGCGAAGGCGGCUUACUGGACGAUAACUGACGUUGAGGCUCGAAAGCGUGGGGAGCAAACAGGAUUAGAUACCCUGGUA
rnacentral:rRNA from 1 species